rnacentral:rRNA from 1 species
AUGGCGGCCGCGGGAGACGCCGGCGAGAAGAAGAUGAUCACACUCAAGAGCUCGGACGGCGAGGAGUUCGAGGUGGAGGAGGCGGUGGCCAUGGAGUCGCAGACGAUCCGCCACAUGAUCGAGGACGACUGCGCCGACAACGGCAUCCCGCUCCCCAACGUCAACUCCAAGAUCCUCUCCAAGGUCAUCGAGUACUGCAACAAGCACGUCCAGGCCAAGCCCGCCGAUGGGGCUGCCGCCGGAGCCGGAGCCGGAGCCUCGGACGCCGCCCCCGCCGCCCCCGCCGAGGACCUCAAGAACUGGGACGCCGAGUUCGUCAAGGUCGACCAGGCCACCCUCUUCGACCUCAUCCUGGCUGCCAACUACCUGAACAUCAAGGGGCUGCUGGACCUGACCUGCCAGACUGUUGCUGACAUGAUCAAGGGCAAGACCCCAGAGGAGAUCCGCAAGACCUUCAACAUCAAGAACGACUUUACGCCCGAGGAGGAGGAGGAGAUCCGCAGGGAGAACCAGUGGGCCUUUGAGUAG